rnacentral:piRNA from 1 species
UGUCCGAGGAUUUAGCAUGC